rnacentral:rRNA from 1 species
CAAUAGCGUAUAUUAAAGUUGUUGCAGUUAAAAAGCUCGUAGUUGGAUUUGUGGCGUACGGUGUGUUCCGGGCACUUGUUGUCUGAGUAACCUGCUGUUGCCAUCCUUGGGUGGAACCUGUGUGGCAUUAGGUUGUCGUGCAGGGGAUGCCCAUCAUUUACUGUGAAAAAAUUAGAGUGUUCAAAGCAGGCUUAUGCCGUUGAAUAUAUUAGCAUGGAAUAACGAGAUAGGACUUUUUUGCUAUUUUGUUGGUUUGCGCAAAGAGGUAAUGAUUAAUAGGGACAGUUGGGGAUAUUCGUAUUCCAUUGUCAGAGGUGAAAUUCUUGGAUUUUUGGAAGACGAACUACUGCGAAAGCAUUUACCAAGGAUGUUUUCAUUAA